rnacentral:lncRNA from 1 species
UACAAACCAGGAGGUAUCCAAUGAAUAAUGACAAUAGGGAGAGAGUAGCUGUGAAGGGUUGGUGAACUUUAGCAGUCCAAGCAGCAACAACAAUCACACAAAUGGAGGCACUGCAAACUCCAGUAAGGAAACAAAUUGAGCUGGUAAUGUCACAAUCAACAAUGCGUUCCAUAUCUUGCCUUUUAAAUUGUUCCCAAGUAUCUUGUGAUGCCUGAACAAAUCCUUUUCCAUAUGCAGCUAUCUGCAACAAUGGUUUAAAGGCUAACUCAGUACAAUGCCUCAUUUUCUUGGUCAAGCAUUGUUAAGCUCAAGGAAUUAGCAUUGAAUAUUGGUAUUACCUGUACAAAGGCCCAG